CAUUGAGCCAGGCCAUCUUCACCUCCAAUGUAGGAGCCUGACAGACAACAGAAACAUCGCAACAGGCUGAACAAGACGUGGCUUGCUGUGAUAUUUGUGUCAACAAGAUCUGCUGCUGACUGAUGUCCAAGCAUCAGGCCCACUAUCAAAAACAAGCUCCCACACCUUCAGGAGCCUCCAGGCAUCCUUCCAGGUCCUGAAGGAAGACCCUGGAUUCCCAGAAGGUCAAAGGUCACACAUCAACCUCAGUGCAUAAAGUGGUAUAUACAUGGGGUUUUCUACAGAAA